GGCUGUCACAACUCUCCCCCACUUAAGAAAUUUUCAUCCCCGAAAAUUUCUACCGAUGCAUAGUUUAGGAUAACGUCCUCUUAUUGAAUUAUAUCCACAAAGACAUUAGCUCAUUGAUAGCAAUUGUUAUUCAUUAUUGAUUUCUCAUCGAUCUUUAAAAAUCAUUUUCUUAUCUUAAAACAAAUACAUAAACAUUUCUACAAGUAUGCACAUAUAUCUCAUUUUCUUGAUUUCAUAAGCAAUAAUCAC
rnacentral:lncRNA from 1 species